GGUUACGGGCGGCCGCCGCGGCCUCGCAGCGGAGCCGUUUGGGCGGGAGCCGGCGAGGGAGCAGCGGCCGCAGGGUGUAUUGAGAAUAAUCAUCAGCCUUAACAAGGAUUGAUUGUGUGCUCCUCAUCCUCAUCCUCAUCCUCCUGGUUUGGUAUUAAGCGGAAAAAGCUUUGGCCGUCGCGUUGGGGAGGCGAAGAGGUGGAAGAACGUCCCUUUCAAGGGGGCAGCACUGGAAGAACCUUUAUGGGCUCCUAAUGACAUGCAGGUGGACAAUUGACCGAUGAUAAUUAAGUUUCAUAAUCAGUGAUCUCGGCUACACCACAAGUGU
rnacentral:lncRNA from 1 species